UAUUCAGAACACAGUCGAUAUCAUCCUCAC
rnacentral:sRNA from 1 species